rnacentral:rRNA from 1 species
AGAUUGAACGCUGGCGGCAGGCCUAACACAUGCAAGUCGAGCGGUAGAGAGGUGCUUGCAUCUCUUGAGAGCGGCGGACGGGUGAGUAAUGCCUAGGAAUCUGCCUAGUGGUGGGGGAUAACGUUCGGAAACGGACGCUAAUACCGCAUACGUCCUACGGGAGAAAGCGGGGGACCUUCGGGCCUCGCGCCAUUAGAUGAGCCUAGGUCGGAUUAGCUAGUUGGUGAGGUAAUGGCUCACCAAGGCGACGAUCCGUAACUGGUCUGAGAGGAUGAUCAGUCACACUGGAACUGAGACACGGUCCAGACUCCUACGGGAGGCAGCAGUGGGGAAUAUUGGACAAUGGGCGAAAGCCUGAUCCAGCCAUGCCGCGUGUGUGAAGAAGGUCUUCGGAUUGUAAAGCACUUUAAGUUGGAGGAAGGUUGUAACUUAAUACGUUGACUAACGUUUUGACGUUUACCGACAAGUAAUAAGCACCGGCUAACUUCGUGCCAGCAGCCGACG